AUACGGAGGGUGCAAGCGUUAUCCGGAUUCAUUGGGUUUAAAGGGUGCGCAGGCGGAUAUUUAAGUCAGUGGUGAAAUCCCGGGGCUCAACCUCGGAACUGCCAUUGAUACUGAAUAUCUGGAAUACGGUUGAAGUGGGCGGAAUGUAGCAUGUAGCGGUGAAAUGCAUAGAGAUGCUACAGAACACCGAUCGCGAAGGCAGCUCACUAAGCCGAUAUUGACGCUCAGGCACGAAAGCGUGGGGAGCGAACAGGAUUAGAAACCCUAGUAGUCC
rnacentral:rRNA from 1 species